CGUGCAGGCGGUUUGGUAAGUUGGAUGUGAAAGCUCCUGGCUUAACUGGGAGAGGUCGUUCAAUACUGCCAGGCUAGAGGACGGUAGAGGAAGGUAGAAUUCCUGGUGUAGUGGUGAAAUGCGUAGAUAUCAGGAGGAAUACCAGAGGCGAAGGCGGCCUUCUGGGCCGUUCCUGACGCUAAGACGCGAAAGCAUGGGUAGCAAACG
rnacentral:rRNA from 1 species